rnacentral:rRNA from 1 species
GAUGAACGCUAGCGGCAGGCCUAACACAUGCAAGUCGAGGGGCAGCACGAUUGCUUGCAAUUGGUGGCGACCGGCGCACGGGUGCGUAACGCGUAUGCAACCUACCCUUAACAGGAGGAUAGCCCGGGGAAACUCGGAUUAAUACUCCAUAAUAUCAUGAAUUCGCAUGUUUUUAUGAUUAAAGAUUUAUCGGUUAAGGAUGGGCAUGCGUAAGAUUAGCUAGUUGGUAAGGUAAUGGCUUACCAAGGCAACGAUCUUUAGGGGGCCUGAGAGGGUGAACCCCCACACUGGUACUGAGACACGGACCAG